rnacentral:rRNA from 1 species
GAACCGUCCAAACGUUAUUCGGAAUCAUUGGGCUUAAAGGGUGCGUAGGCGGUGUGGUCAGUUGGGUGUGAAAUCCCUCGGCUCAACCGAGGAACUGCGCCCAAUACUGCCACACUCGAGGGAGACAGAGGUAAGCGGAACUGAUGGUGGAGCGGUGAAAUGCGUUGAUAUCAUCAGGAACACCAGUGGCGAAGGCGGCUUACUGGGUCUCUUCUGACGCUGAGGCACGAAAGCUAGGGGGGAGCGAACGGGAUUAGAUACCCCGGUAGUCCUAGCUGUAAACGAUGAGCACUUGAUCGGAGACUCCCUCCAUAGGUUUCCGGUCGUAGCGAAAGUGUUAAGUGCUCCGCCUGGGAGUAUGGUCGCAAGGCUG